rnacentral:lncRNA from 1 species
CUUACACUUGGAUUGGCCGCGAAAAGGAUAUAUAGAAACGAGAGUGAUGUACUGUCGGGUGCGAUCAUACCAGCACUAAUGCACCGGAUCCCAUCAGAACUCCGCAGCUAAGCGUGCUUGGGCGAGAGUAGUACUAGGAUGGGUGACCUCCCGGGAAGUCCUCGUGUUGCACCCCUUUUUAUUUUUUAAUUUUUUUUUAGCCUAAAACGAGUCUAAACUUGAAAACCCCAUAACUUUUGAACCGUGAGGAACUACGUCGCCCAUAGCACCAUUUCGGAAAGCCCCAGAAACCAUAAUGGGCGGUGAAUAGGGGGCGCAAUUUUUCGGGCUCAAAUUCAGCCGUUUUGACCCUCAAACGGGCUGCGGAAAGUUAUGGCACGUAAAAAAGACCGAAAGCGGAUUUUCAAGGUGUUUUUGAUGCUUUCUUAACGCCGUUAACCUCGAUGCACUUUUUCGCUCGAAACAAAACGGCAAGAAAAUCAUGCGCGCCCCACGGCCUUACACUUGGAUUGGCCGCGAAAAGGAUAUAUAGAAACGAGAGUGGAUGUACUGACGGGUGCGAUCAUACCAGCACUAAUGCACCGGAUCCCAUCAGAACUCCGCAGUUAAGCGUGCUUGGGCGAGAGUAGUACUAGGAUGGGUGACCUCCCGGGAAGUCCUCGUGUUGCACCCCUUUUUAUUUUUUAAUUUUUUUUUAGCCUAAAACGAGUCUAAACUUGAAAACCUCAUAACUUUUGAACCGUGAGGAACUACGUCGCCCAUAGCACCAUUUCGGAGAGCCCCAGAAACCAUAAUGGGCGGUGAAUAGGGGGCGCAAUUUUUCGGGCUCAAAUUCAGCCGUUUUGACCCUCAAACGGGCUGCGGAAAGUUAUGGCACGUAAAAAAGAUCGAAAGCGGAUUCUCAAGGUGUUUUUGAUGCUUUCUUAACGCCGUUAACCUCGAUGCACUUUUUCCGCUCGAAACAAAACGGCAAGAAAAUCAUGCGCGCCCCACGGCCUUACACUUGGAUUGGCCGCGAAAAGGAUAUAUAGAAACGAGAGUGAUGUACUGACGGGUGCGAUCAUACCAGCACUAAUGCACCGGAUCCCAUCAGAACUCCGCAGUUAAGCGUGCUUGGGCGAGAGUAGUACUAGGAUGGGUGACCUCCCGGAAGUCCUCGUGUUGCACCCCUUUUUAUUUUUUAAUUUUUUUUUUGCCUAAACGAGUCUAAACUUGAAAACCUCAUAACUUUUGAACCGUGAGGAACUACGUCGCCCAUAGCACCAUUUCGGAGAGCCCCAGAAACCAUAAUGGGCGGUGAAUAGGGGGCGCAAUUUUUCGGGCUCAAAUUCAGCCGUUUUGACCCUCAAACGGGCUGCGGAAAGUUAUGGCACGUAAAAAAGAUCGAAAGCGGAUUCUCAAGGUGUUUUUGAUGCUUUCUUAACGCCGUUAACCUCGAUGCACUUUUUCGCUCGAAACAAAACGGCAAGAAAAUCAUGCGCGCCCCACGGCCUUACACUUGGAUUGGCCGCGAAAAGGAUAUAUAGAAACGAGAGUGAUGUACUGACGGGUGCGAUCAUACCAGCACUAAUGCACCGGAUCCCAUCAGAACUCCGCAGUUAAGCGUGCUUGGGCGAGAGUAGUACUAGGAUGGGUGACCUCCCGGGAAGUCCUCGUGUUGCACCCCUUUUUUUUUUUAAUUUUUUUUUAGCCUAAAACGAGUCUAAACUUGAAAACCUCAUAACUUUUGAACCGUGAGGAACUACGUCGCCCAUAGCACCAUUUCGGAGAGCCCCAGAAACCAUAAUGGGCGGUGAAUAGGGGGCGCAAUUUUUCGGGCUCAAAUUCAGCCGUUUUGACCCUCAAACGGGCUGCGGAAAGUUAUGGCACGUAAAAAAGAUCGAAAGCGGAUUCUCAAGGUGUUUUUGAUGCUUUCUUAACGCCGUUAACCUCGAUGCACUUUUUCGCUCGAAACAAAACGGCAAGAAAAUCAUGCGCGCCCCACGGCCUUACACUUGGAUUGGCCGCGAAAAGGAUAUAUAGAAACGAGAGUGAUGUACUGACGGGUGCGAUCAUACCAGCACUAAUGCACCGGAUCCCAUCAGAACUCCGCAGUUAAGCGUGCUUGGGCGAGAGUAGUACUAGGAUGGGUGACCUCCCGGGAAGUCCUCGUGUUGCACCCCUUUUUAUUUUUUAAUUUUUUUUUGCCUAAAACGAGUCUAAACUUGAAAACCUCAUAACUUUUGAACCGUGAGGAACUACGUCGCCCAUAGCACCAUUUCGGAGAGCCCCAGAAACCAUAAUGGGCGGUGAAUAGGGGGCGCAAUUUUUCGGGCUCAAAUUCAGCCGUUUUGACCCUCAAACGGGCUGCGGAAAGUUAUGGCACGUAAAAAAGAUCGAAAGCGGAUUCUCAAGGUGUUUUUGAUGCUUUCUUAACGCCGUUAACCUCGAUGCACUUUUUCGCUCGAAACAAAACGGCAAGAAAAUCAUGCGCGCCCCCACGGCCUUACACUUGGAUUGGCCGCGAAAAGGAUAUAUAGAAACGAGAGUGAUGUACUGACGGGUGCGAUCAUACCAGCACUAAUGCACCGGAUCCCAUCAGAACUCCGCAGUUAAGCGUGCUUGGGCGAGAGUAGUACUAGGAUGGGUGACCUCCCGGGAAGUCCUCGUGUUGCACCCCUUUUUAUUUUUUAAUUUUUUUUUAGCCUAAAACGAGUCUAAACUUGAAAACCUCAUAACUUUUGAACCGUGAGGAACUACGUCGCCCAUAGCACCAUUUCGGAGAGCCCCAGAAACAUAAUGGGCGGUGAAUAGGGGGCGCAAUUUUUCGGGCUCAAAUUCAGCCGUUUGACCCUCAAACGGGCUGCGGAAAGUUAUGGCACGUAAAAAGAUCGAAAGCGGAUUCUCAAGGUGUUUUUGAUGCUUUCUUAACGCCGUUAACCUCGAUGCACUUUUUCGCUCGAAACAAAACGGCAAGAAAAUCAUGCGCGCCCCACGGCCUUACACUUGGAUUGGCCGCGAAAAGGAUAUAUAGAAACGAGAGUGAUGUACUGACGGGUGCGAUCAUACCAGCACUAAUGCACCGGAUCCCAUCAGAACUCCGCAGUUAAGCGUGCUUGGGCGAGAGUAGUACUAGGAUGGGUGACCUCCUGGGAAGUCCUCGUGUUGCACCCCUUUUUAUUUUUUAAUUUUUUUUAUGCCUAAAACGAGUCUAAACUUGAAAACCUCAUAACUUUUGAACCGUGAGGAACUACGUCGCCCAUAGCACCAUUUCGGAGAGCCCCAGAAACCAUAAUGGGCGGUGAAUAGGGGCGCAAUUUUUCGGGCUCAAAUUCAGCCGUUUUGACCCUCAAACGGGCUGCGGAAAGUUAUGGCACGUAAAAAAGAUCGAAAGCGGAUUCUCAAGGUGUUUUUGAUGCUUUCUUAACGCCGUUAACCUCGAUGCACUUUUUCGCUCGAAACAAAACGGCAAGAAAAUCAUGCGCGCCCCACGGCCUUACACUUGGAUUGGCCGCGAAAAGGAUAUAUAGAAACGAGAGUGAUGUACUGACGGGUGCGAUCAUACCAGCACUAAUGCACCGGAUCCCAUCAGAACUCCGCAGUUAAGCGUGCUUGGGCGAGAGUAGUACUAGGAUGGGUGACCUCCCGGGAAGUCCUCGUGUUGCACCCCUUUUUAUUUUUUAAUUUUUUUUUAGCCUAAAACGAGUCUAAACUUGAAAACCUCAUAACUUUUGAACGAACCGUGAGGAACUACGUCGCCCAUAGCACCAUUUCGGAGAGCCCCAAAACCAUAAUGGGCGGUGAAUAGGGGGCGCAAUUUUUCGGGCUCAAAUUCAGCCGUUUUGACCCUCAAACGGGCUGCGGAAAGUUAUGGCACGUAAAAAAGAUCGAAAGCGGAUUCUCAAGGUGUUUUUGAUGCUUUCUUAACGCCGUUAACCUCGAUGCACUUUUUCGCUCGAAACAAAACGGCAAGAAAAUCAUGCGCGCCCCACGGCCUUACACUUGGAUUGGCCGCGAAAAGGAUAUAUAGAAACGAGAGUGAUGUACUGACGGGUGCGAUCAUACCAGCACUAAUGCACCGGAUCCCAUCAGAACUCCGCAGUUAAGCGUGCUUGGGCGAGAGUAGUACUAGGAUGGGUGACCUCCCGGGAAGUCCUCGUGUUGCACCCCUUUUUAUUUUUUUAUUUUUUUUUUGCCUAAAACGAGUCUAAACUUGAAAACCUCAUAACUUUUGAACCGUGAGGAACUACGUCGCCCAUAGCACCAUUUCGGAGAGCCCCAGAAACCAUAAUGGGCGGUGAAUAGGGGGCGCAAUUUUUCGGGCUCAAAUUCAGCCGUUUUGACCCUCAAACGGGCUGCGGAAAGUUAUGGCACGUAAAAAAGAUCGAAAGCGGAUUCUCAAGGUGUUUUUGAUGCUUUCUUAACGCCGUUAACCUCGAUGCACUUUUUCGCUCGAAACAAAACGGCAAGAAAAUCAUGCGCGCCCCACGGCCUUACACUUGGAUUGGCCGCGAAAAGGAUAUAUAGAAACGAGAGUGAUGUACUGACGGGUGCGAUCAUACCAGCACUAAUGCACCGGAUCCCAUCAGAACUCCGCAGUUAAGCGUGCUUGGGCGAGAGUAGUACUAGGAUGGGUGACCUCCCGGGAAGUCCUCGUGUUGCACCCCUUUUUAUUUUUUAAUUUUUUUUUAGCCUAAAACGAGUCUAAACUUGAAAACCUCAUAACUUUUGAACCGUGAGGAACUACGUCGCCCAUAGCACCAUUUCGGAGAGCCCCAGAAACCAUAAUGGGCGGUGAAUAGGGGGCGCAAUUUUUCGGGCUCAAAUUCAGCCGUUUUGACCCUCAAACGGGCUGCGGAAAGUUAUGGCACGUAAAAAAGAUCGAAAGCGGAUUCUCAAGGUGUUUUUGAUGCUUUCUUAACGCCGUUAACCUCGAUGCACUUUUUCGCUCGAAACAAAACGGCAAGAAAAUCAUGCGCGCCCCACGGCCUUACACUUGGAUUGGCCGCGAAAAGGAUAUAUAGAAACGAGAGUGAUGUACUGUCGUGUGCCAUCAUACCAGCACUAAUGCACCGGAUCCCAUCAGAACUCCGCAGUUAAGCGUGCUUGGGCGAGAGUAGUACUAGGAUGGGUGACCUCCCGGGAAGUCCUCGUGUUGCACCCCUUUUUAUUUUUUAUUUUUUUUUAGCCUGAAACGAGUCUAAACUUGAAAACCUCAUAACUUUUGAACCGUGAGGAACUACGUCUCCCAUAGCACCAUUUCGGAGAGCCCCAGAAACCAUAAUGGGCGGUCAAUAGGGGGCGCAAUUUUUCGGGCUCAAAUUCAGCCGUUUUGACCCUCAAACGGGCUGCGGAAAGUUAUGGCACGUAAAAAAGAUCGAAAGCGGAUUCUCAAGGUGUUUUUGAUGCUUUCUUAACGCCGUUAACCUCGAUGCACUUUUUCGCUCGAAACAAAACGGCAAGAAAAUCAUGCGCGCCCCACGGCCUUACACUUGGAUUGGCCGCGAAAAGGAUAUAUAGAAACGAGAGUGAUGUACUGACGGGUGCGAUCAUACCAGCACUAAUGCACCGGAUCCCAUCAGAACUCCGCAGUUAAGCGUGCUUGGGCGAGAGUAGUAGUACUAGGAUGGGUGACCUCCCGGGAAGUCCUCGUGUUGCACCCCUUUUUAUUUUUUAAUUUUUUUUUAGCCUAAAACGAGUCUAAACUUGAAAACCUCAUAACUUUUGAACCGUGAGGAACUACGUCGCCCAUAGCACCAUUUCGGAGAGCCCCAGAAACCAUAAUGGGCGGUGAAUAGGGGGCGCAAUUUUUCGGGCUCAAAUUCAGCCGUUUUGACCCUCAAACGGGCUGCGGAAAGUUAUGGCACGUAAAAAGAUCGAAAGCGGAUUCUCAAGGUGUUUUUGAUGCUUUCUUAACGCCGUUAACCUCGAUGCACUUUUUCGCUCGAAACAAAACGGCAAGAAAAUCAUGCGCGCCCCACGGCCUUACACUUGGAUUGGCCGCGAAAAGGAUAUAUAGAAACGAGAGUGAUGUACUGUCGGGUGCGAUCAUACCAGCACUAAUGCACCGGAUCCCAUCAGAACUCCGCAGUUAAGCGUGCUUGGGCGAGAGUAGUACUAGGAUGGGUGACCUCCCGGAAAGUCCUCGUGUUGCACCCCUUUUUUAUUUUUUAAUUUUUUUUUAGCCUAAAACGAGUCUAAACUUGAAAACCUCAUAACUUUUGAACCGUGAGGAACUACGUCGCCCAUAGCACCAUUUCGGAAAGCCCCAGAAACCAUAAUGGGCGGUGAAUAGGGGGCGCAAUUUUUCGGGCUCAAAUUCAGUCGUUUUGACCCUCAGACGGGCUGCGGAAAGUUAUGGCACGUAAAAAAGAUCGAAAGCGGAUUCUCAAGGUGUUUUUGAUGCUUUCUUAACGCCGUUAACCUCGAUGCACUUUUUCGCUCGAAACAAAACGGCAAGAAAAUCAUGCGCGCCCCACGGCCUUACACUUGGAUUGGCCGCGAAAAGGAUAUAUAGAAACGAGAGUGAUGUACUGACGGGUGCGAUCAUACCAGCACUAAUGCACCGGAUCCCAUCAGAACUCCGCAGUUAAGCGUGCUUGGGCGAGAGUAGUACUAGGAUGGGUGACCUCCCGGGAAGUCCUCGUGUUGCACCCCUUUUUAUUUUUAAUUUUUUUUAGCCUAAAACGAGUCUAAACUUGAAAACCUCAUAACUUUUGAACCGUGAGGAACUACGUCGCCCAUAGCACCAUUUCGGAGAGCCCCAGAAACCAUAAUGGGCGGUGAAUAGGGGGCGCAAUUUUUCGGGCGAUAUAUAGAAACGAGAGUGAUGUACUGACGGGUGCGAUCAUACCAGCACUAAUGCACCGGAUCCCAUCAGAACUCCGCAGUUAAGCGUGCUUGGGCGAGAGUAGUACUAGGAUGGGUGACCUCCCGGGAAGUCCUCGUGUUGCACCCCUUUUUAUUUUUUAAUUUUUUUUUAGCCUAAAACGAGUCUAAACUUGAAAACCUCAUAACUUUUGAACCGUGAGGAACUACGUCGCCCAUAGCACCAUUUCGGAGAGCCCCAGAAACCAUAAUGGGCGGUGAAUAGGGGCGCAAUUUUUCGGGCUCAAAUUCAGCCGUUUUGACCCUCAAACGGGCUGCGGAAAGUUAUGGCACGUAAAAAAGAUCGAAAGCGGAUUCUCAAGGUGUUUUUGAUGCUUUCUUAACGCCGUUAACCUCGAUGCACUUUUUCGCUCGAAACAAAACGGCAAGAAAAUCAUGCGCGCCCCACGGCCUUACACUUGGAUUGGCCGCGAAAAGGAUAUAUAGAAACGAGAGUGAUGUACUGACGGGUGCGAUCAUACCAGCACUAAUGCACCGGAUCCCAUCAGAACUCCGCAGUUAAGCGUGCUUGGGCGAGAGUAGUACUAGGAUGGGUGACCUCCCGGGAAGUCCUCGUGUUGCACCCCUUUUUAUUUUUUAAUUUUUUUUUAGCCUAAAACGAGUCUAAACUUGAAAACCUCAUAACUUUUGAACCGUGAGGAACUACGUCGCCCAUAGCACCAUUUCGGAGAGCCCCAGAAACCAUAAUGGGCGGUGAAUAGGGGGCGCAAUUUUUCGGGCUCAAAUUCAGCCGUUUUGACCCUCAAACGGGCUGCGGAAAGUUAUGGCACGUAAAAAAGAUCGAAAGCGGAUUCUCAAGGUGUUUUUGAUGCUUUCUUAACGCCGUUAACCUCGAUGCACUUUUUCGCUCGAAACAAAACGGCAAGAAAAUCAUGCGCGCCCCACGGCCUUACACUUGGAUUGGCCGCGAAAAGGAUAUAUAGAAACGAGAGUGAUGUACUGACGGGUGCGAUCAUACCAGCACUAAUGCACCGGAUCCCAUCAGAACUCCGCAGUUAAGCGUGCUUGGGCGAGAGUAGUACUAGGAUGGGUGACCUCCCGGGAAGUCCUCGUGUUGCACCCCUUUUUAUUUUUUAAUUUUUUUUUAGCCUAAAACGAGUCUAAACUUGAAAACCUCAUAACUUUUGAACCGUGAGGAACUACGUCGCCCAUAGCACCAUUUCGGAGAGCCCCAGAAACCAUAAUGGGCGGUGAAUAGGGGGCGCAAUUUUUCGGGCUCAAAUUCAGCCGUUUUGACCCUCAAACGGGCUGCGGAAAGUUAUGGCACGUAAAAAAGAUCGAAAGCGGAUUCUCAAGGUGUUUUUGAUGCUUUCUUAACGCCGUUAACCUCGAUGCACUUUUUCGCUCGAAACAAAACGGCAAGAAAAUCAUGCGCGCCCCACGGCCUUACACUUGGAUUGGCCGCGAAAAGGAUAUAUAGAAACGAGAGUGAUGUACUGACGGGUGCGAUCAUACCAGCACUAAUGCACCGGAUCCCAUCAGAACUCCGCAGUUAAGCGUGCUUGGGCGAGAGUAGUACUAGGAUGGGUGACCUCCCGGGAAGUCCUCGUGUUGCACCCCUUUUUAUUUUUUAAUUUUUUUUUAGCCUAAAACGAGUCUAAACUUGAAAACCUCAUAACUUUUGAACCGUGAGGAACUACGUCGCCCAUAGCACCAUUUCGGAGAGCCCCAGAAACCAUAAUGGGCGGUGAAUAGGGGGCGCAAUUUUUCGGGCUCAAAUUCAGCCGUUUUGACCCUCAAACGGGCUGCGGAAAGUUAUGGCACGUAAAAAAGAUCGAAAGCGGAUUCUCAAGGUGUUUUUGAUGCUUUCUUAACGCCGUUAACCUCGAUGCACUUUUUCGCUCGAAACAAAACGGCAAGAAAAUCAUGCGCGCCCCACGGCCUUACACUUGGAUUGGCCGCGAAAAGGAUAUAUAGAAACGAGAGUGAUGUACUGACGGGUGCGAUCAUACCAGCACUAAUGCACCGGAUCCCAUCAGAACUCCGCAGUUAAGCGUGCUUGGGCGAGAGUAGUACUAGGAUGGGUGACCUCCCGGGAAGUCCUCGUGUUGCACCCCUUUUUAUUUUUAAUUUUUUUUUAGCCUAAAACGAGUCUAAACUUGAAAACCUCAUAACUUUUGAACCGUGAGGAACUACGUCGCCCAUAGCACCAUUUCGGAGAGCCCCAGAAACCAUAAUGGGCGGUGAAUAGGGGGCGCAAUUUUUCGGGCUCAAAUUCAGCCGUUUUGACCCUCAAACGGGCUGCGGAAAGUUAUGGCACGUAAAAAAGAUCGAAAGCGGAUUCUCAAGGUGUUUUUGAUGCUUUCUUAACGCCGUUAACCUCGAUGCACUUUUUCGCUCGAAACAAAACGGCAAGAAAAUCAUGCGCGCCCCACGGCCUUACACUUGGAUUGGCCGCGAAAAGGAUAUAUAGAAACGAGAGUGAUGUACUGACGGGUGCGAUCAUACCAGCACUAAUGCACCGGAUCCCAUCAGAACUCCGCAGUUAAGCGUGCUUGGGCGAGAGUAGUACUAGGAUGGGUGACCUCCCGGGAAGUCCUCGUGUUGCACCCCUUUUUAUUUUUUAAUUUUUUUUUAGCCUAAAACGAGUCUAAACUUGAAAACCUCAUAACUUUUGAACCGUGAGGAACUACGUCGCCCAUAGCACCAUUUCGGAGAGCCCCAGAAACCAUAAUGGGCGGUGAAUAGGGGGCGCAAUUUUUCGGGCUCAAAUUCAGCCGUUUUGACCCUCAAACGGGCUGCGGAAAGUUAUGGCACGUAAAAAAGAUCGAAAGCGGAUUCUCAAGGUGUUUUUGAUGCUUUCUUAACGCCGUUAACCUCGAUGCACUUUUUCGCUCGAAACAAAACGGCAAGAAAAUCAUGCGCGCCCCACGGCCUUACACUUGGAUUGGCCGCGAAAAGGAUAUAUAGAAACGAGAGUGAUGUACUGACGGGUGCGAUCAUACCAGCACUAAUGCACCGGAUCCCAUCAGAACUCCGCAGUUAAGCGUGCUUGGGCGAGAGUAGUACUAGGAUGGGUGACCUCCCGGGAAGUCCUCGUGUUGCACCCCUUUUUAUUUUUUAAUUUUUUUUAGCCUAAAACGAGUCUAAACUUGAAAACCUCAUAACUUUUGAACCGUGAGGAACUACGUCGCCCAUAGCACCAUUUCGGAGAGCCCCAGAAACCAUAAUGGGCGGUGAAUAGGGGGCGCAAUUUUUCGGGCUCAAAUUCAGCCGUUUUGACCCUCAAACGGGCUGCGGAAAGUUAUGGCACGUAAAAAAGAUCGAAAGCGGAUUCUCAAGGUGUUUUUGAUGCUUUCUUAACGCCGUUAACCUCGAUGCACUUUUUCGCUCGAAACAAAACGGCAAGAAAAUCAUGCGCGCCCCACGGCCUUACACUUGGAUUGGCCGCGAAAAGGAUAUAUAGAAACGAGAGUGAUGUACUGACGGGUGCGAUCAUACCAGCACUAAUGCACCGGAUCCCAUCAGAACUCCGCAGUUAAGGGUGCUUGGGCGAGAGUAGUACUAGGAUGGGUGACCUCCCGGGAAGUCCUCGUGUUGCACCCCUUUUUAUUUUUUUUAUUUUUUUUUAGCCUAAAACGAGUCUAAACUUGAAAACCUCAUAACUUUUGAACCGUGAGGAACUACGUCGCCCAUAGCACCAUUUCGGAAAGCCCCAGAAACCAUAAUGGGCGGUGAAUAGGGGGCGCAAUUUUUCGGGCUCAAAUUCAGCCGUUUUGACCCUCAAACGGGCUGCGGAAAGUUAUGGCACGUAAAAAAGAUCGAAAGCGGAUUCUCAAGGUGUUUUUGAUGCUUUCUUAACGCCGUUAACCUCGAUGCACUUUUUCGCUCGAAACAAAACGGCAAGAAAAUCAUGCGCGCCCCACGGCCUUACACUUGGAUUGGCCGCGAAAAGGAUAUAUAGAAACGAGAGUGAUGUACUGACGGGUGCGAUCAUACCAGCACUAAUGCACCGGAUCCCAUCAGAACUCCGCAGUUAAGCGUGCUUGGGCGAGAGUAGUACUAGGAUGGGUGACCUCCCGGGAAGUCCUCGUGUUGCACCCCUUUUUAUUUUUUAAUUUUUUUUUAGCCUAAAACGAGUCUAAACUUGAAAACCUCAUAACUUUUGAACCGUGAGGAACUACGUCGCCCAUAGCACCAUUUCGGAAAGCCCCAGAAACCAUAAUGGGCGGUGAAUAGGGGGCGCAAUUUUUCGGGCUCAAAUUCAGCCGUUUUGACCCUCAAACGGGCUGCGGAAAGUUAUGGCACGUAAAAAAGAUCGAAAGCGGAUUCUCAAGGUGUUUUUGAUGCUUUCUUAACGCCGUUAACCUCGAUGCACUUUUUCGCUCGAAACAAAACGGCAAGAAAAUCAUGCGCGCCCCACGGCCUUACACUUGGAUUGGCCGCGAAAAGGAUAUAUAGAAACGAGAGUGAUGUACUGACGGGUGCGAUCAUACCAGCACUAAUGCACCGGAUCCCAUCAGAACUCCGCAGUUAAGCGUGCUUGGGCGAGAGUAGUACUAGGAUGGGUGACCUCCCGGGAAGUCCUCGUGUUGCACCCCUUUUUAUUUUUUAAUUUUUUUUUAGCCUAAAACGAGUCUAAACUUGAAAACCCAUAACUUUUGAACCGUGAGGAACUACGUCGCCCAUAGCACCAUUUCGGAAGCCCCAGAAACCAUAAUGGGCGGUGAAUAGGGGGCGCAAUUUUUCGGGCUCAAAUUCAGCCGUUUUGACCCUCAAACGGGCUGCGGAAAGUUAUGGCACGUAAAAAAGAUCGAAAGCGGAUUCUCAAGGUGUUUUUGAUGCUUUCUUAACGCCGUUAACCUCGAUGCACUUUUUCGCUCGAAACAAAACGGCAAGAAAAUCAUGCGCGCCCCACGGCCUUACACUUGGAUUGGCCGCGAAAAGGAUAUAUAGAAACGAGAGUGAUGUACUGACGGGUGCGAUCAUACCAGCACUAAUGCACCGGAUCCCAUCAGAACUCCGCAGUUAAGCGUGCUUGGGCGAGAGUAGUACUAGGAUGGGUGACCUCCCGGGAAGUCCUCGUGUUGCACCCCUUUUUAUUUUUUAAUUUUUUUUUAGCCUAAAACGAGUCUAAACUUGAAAACCUCAUAACUUUUGAACCGUGAGGAACUACGUCGCCCAUAGCACCAUUUCGGAAAGCCCCAGAAACCAUAAUGGGCGGUGAAUAGGGGGCGCAAUUUUUCGGGCUCAAAUUCAGCCGUUUUGACCCUCAAACGGGCUGCGGAAAGUUAUGGCACGUAAAAAAGAUCGAAAGCGGAUUCUCAAGGUGUUUUUGAUGCUUUCUUAACGCCGUUAACCUCGAUGCACUUUUUCGCUCGAAACAAAACGGCAAGAAAAUCAUGCGCGCCCCACGGCCUUACACUUGGAUUGGCCGCGAAAAGGAUAUAUAGAAACGAGAGUGAUGUACUGACGGGUGCGAUCAUACCAGCACUAAUGCACCGGAUCCCAUCAGAACUCCGCAGUUAAGCGUGCUUGGGCGAGAGUAGUACUAGGAUGGGUGACCUCCCGGGAAGUCCUCGUGUUGCACCCCUUUUUAUUUUUUAAUUUUUUUUUAGCCUAAAACGAGUCUAAACUUGAAAACCCCAUAACUUUUGAACCGUGAGGAACUACGUCGCCCAUAGCACCAUUUCGGAAAGCCCCAGAAACCAUAAUGGGCGGUGAAUAGGGGGCGCAAUUUUUCGGGCUCAAAUUCAGCCGUUUUGACCCUCAAACGGGCUGCGGAAAGUUAUGGCACGUAAAAAAGAUCGAAAGCGGAUUCUCAAGGUGUUUUUGAUGCUUUCUUAACGCCGUUAACCUCGAUGCACUUUUUCGCUCGAAACAAAACGGCAAGAAAAUCAUGCGCGCCCCACGGCCUUACACUUGGAUUGGCCGCGAAAAGGAUAUAUAGAAACGAGAGUGAUGUACUGACGGGUGCGAUCAUACCAGCACUAAUGCACCGGAUCCCAUCAGAACUCCGCAGUUAAGCGUGCUUGGGCGAGAGUAGUACUAGGAUGGGUGACCUCCCGGGAAGUCCUCGUGUUGCACCCCUUUUUAUUUUUUAAUUUUUUUUUAGCCUAAAACGAGUCUAAACUUGAAAACCUCAUAACUUUUGAACCGUGAGGAACUACGUCGCCCAUAGCACCAUUUCGGAGAAGCCCCAGAAACCAUAAUGGGCGGUGAAUAGGGGGCGCAAUUUUUCGGGCUCAAAUUCAGCCGUUUUGACCCUCAAACGGGCUGCGGAAAGUUAUGGCACGUAAAAAAGAUCGAAAGCGGAUUCUCAAGGUGUUUUUGAUGCUUUCUUAACGCCGUUAACCUCGAUGCACUUUUUCGCUCGAAACAAAACGGCAAGAAAAUCAUGCGCGCCCCACGGCCUUACACUUGGAUUGGCCGCGAAAAGGAUAUAUAGAAACGAGAGUGAUGUACUGUCGGGUGCGAUCAUACCAGCACUAAUGCACCGGAUCCCAUCAGAACUCCGCAGUUAAGCGUGCUUGGGCGAGAGUAGUACUAGGAUGGGUGACCUCCCGGGAAGUCCUCGUGUUGCACCCCUUUUUAUUUUUUAAUUUUUUUUAGCCUAAAACGAGUCUAAACUUGAAAACCUCAUAACUUUUGAACCGUGAGGAACUACGUCGCCCAUAGCACCAUUUCGGAAAGCCCCAGAAACCAUAAUGGGCGGUGAAUAGGGGGCGCAAUUUUUCGGGCUCAAAUUCAGCCGUUUUGACCCUCAAACGGGCUGCGGAAAGUUAUGGCACGUAAAAAAGAUCGAAAGCGGAUUCUCAAGGUGUUUUUGAUGCUUUCUUAACGCCGUUAACCUCGAUGCACUUUUUCGCUCGAAACAAAACGGCAAGAAAAUCAUGCGCGCCCCACGGCCUUACACUUGGAUUGGCCGCGAAAAGGAUAUAUAGAAACGAGAGUGAUGUACUGACGGGUGCGAUCAUACCAGCACUAAUGCACCGGAUCCCAUCAGAACUCCGCAGUUAAGCGUGCUUGGGCGAGAGUAGUACUAGGAUGGGUGACCUCCCGGGAAGUCCUCGUGUUGCACCCCUUUUUAUUUUUUAAUUUUUUUUUAGCCUAAAACGAGUCUAAACUUGAAAACCCAUAACUUUUGAACCGUGAGGAACUACGUCGCCCAUAGCACCAUUUCGGAAAGCCCCAGAAACCAUAAUGGGCGGUGAAUAGGGGGCGCAAUUUUUCGGGCUCAAAUUCAGCCGUUUUGACCCUCAAACGGGCUGCGGAAAGUUAUGGCACGUAAAAAAGAUCGAAAGCGGAUUCUCAAGGUGUUUUUGAUGCUUUCUUAACGCCGUUAACCUCGAUGCACUUUUUCGCUCGAAACAAAACGGCAAGAAAAUCAUGCGCGCCCCACGGCCUUACACUUGGAUUGGCCGCGAAAAGGAUAUAUAGAAACGAGAGUGAUGUACUGUCGGGUGCGAUCAUACCAGCACUAAUGCACCGGAUCCCAUCAGAACUCCGCAGUUAAGCGUGCUUGGGCGAGAGUAGUACUAGGAUGGGUGACCUCCCGGGAAGUCCUCGUGUUGCACCCCUUUUUAUUUUUUAAUUUUUUUUAGCCUAAAACGAGUCUAAACUUGAAAACCCCAUAACUUUUGAACCGUGAGGAACUACGUCGCCCAUAGCACCAUUUCGGAAAGCCCCAGAAACCAUAAUGGGCGGUGAAUAGGGGGCGCAAUUUUUCGGGCUCAAAUUCAGCCGUUUUGACCCUCAAACGGGCUGCGGAAAGUUAUGGCACGUAAAAAAGAUCGAAAGCGGAUUCUCAAGGUGUUUUUGAUGCUUUCUUAACGCCGUUAACCUCGAUGCACUUUUUCGCUCGAAACAAAACGGCAAGAAAAUCAUGCGCGCCCCACGGCCUUACACUUGGAUUGGCCGCGAAAAGGAUAUAUAGAAACGAGAGUGAUGUACUGUCGGGUGCGAUCAUACCAGCACUAAUGCACCGGAUCCCAUCAGAACUCCGCAGUUAAGCGUGCUUGGGCGAGAGUAGUACUAGGAUGGGUGACCUCCCGGGAAGUCCUCGUGUUGCACCCCUUUUUAUUUUUUAAUUUUUUUUUAGCCUAAAACGAGUCUAAACUUGAAAACCUCAUAACUUUUGAACCGUGAGGAACUACGUCGCCCAUAGCACCAUUUCGGAAAGCCCCAGAAACCAUAAUGGGCGGUGAAUAGGGGGCGCAAUUUUUCGGGCUCAAAUUCAGCCGUUUUGACCCUCAAACGGGCUGCGGAAAGUUAUGGCACGUAAAAAAGAUCGAAAGCGGAUUCUCAAGGUGUUUUUGAUGCUUUCUUAACGCCGUUAACCUCGAUGCACUUUUUCGCUCGAAACAAAACGGCAAGAAAAUCAUGCGCGCCCCACGGCCUUACACUUGGAUUGGCCGCGAAAAGGAUAUAUAGAAACGAGAGUGAUGUACUGUCGGGUGCGAUCAUACCAGCACUAAUGCACCGGAUCCCAUCAGAACUCCGCAGUUAAGCGUGCUUGGGCGAGAGUAGUACUAGGAUGGGUGACCUCCCGGGAAGUCCUCGUGUUGCACCCCUUUUUAUUUUUUAAUUUUUUUUUAGCCUAAAACGAGUCUAAACUUGAAAACCUCAUAACUUUUGAACCGUGAGGAACUACGUCGCCCAUAGCACCAUUUCGGAAAGCCCCAGAAACCAUAAUGGGCGGUGAAUAGGGGGCGCAAUUUUUCGGGCUCAAAUUCAGCCGUUUUGACCCUCAAACGGGCUGCGGAAAGUUAUGGCACGUAAAAAAGAUCGAAAGCGGAUUCUCAAGGUGUUUUUGAUGCUUUCUUAACGCCGUUAACCUCGAUGCACUUUUUCGCUCGAAACAAAACGGCAAGAAAAUCAUGCGCGCCCCACGGCCUUACACUUGGAUUGGCCGCGAAAAGGAUAUAUAGAAACGAGAGUGAUGUACUGACGGGUGCGAUCAUACCAGCACUAAUGCACCGGAUCCCAUCAGAACUCCGCAGUUAAGCGUGCUUGGGCGAGAGUAGUACUAGGAUGGGUGACCUCCCGGGAAGUCCUCGUGUUGCACCCCUUUUUAUUUUUUAAUUUUUUUUUAGCCUAAAACGAGUCUAAACUUGAAAACCUCAUAACUUUUGAACCGUGAGGAACUACGUCGCCCAUAGCACCAUUUCGGAAAGCCCCAGAAACCAUAAUGGGCGGUGAAUAGGGGGCGCAAUUUUUCGGGCUCAAAUUCAGCCGUUUUGACCCUCAAACGGGCUGCGGAAAGUUAUGGCACGUAAAAAAGAUCGAAAGCGGAUUCUCAAGGUGUUUUUGAUGCUUUCUUAACGCCGUUAACCUCGAUGCACUUUUUCGCUCGAAACAAAACGGCAAGAAAAUCAUGCGCGCCCCACGGCCUUACACUUGGAUUGGCCGCGAAAAGGAUAUAUAGAAACGAGAGUGAUGUACUGACGGGUGCGAUCAUACCAGCACUAAUGCACCGGAUCCCAUCAGAACUCCGCAGUUAAGCGUGCUUGGGCGAGAGUAGUACUAGGAUGGGUGACCUCCCGGGAAGUCCUCGUGUUGCACCCCUUUUUAUUUUUUAAUUUUUUUUUAGCCUAAAACGAGUCUAAACUUGAAAACCUCAUAACUUUUGAACCGUGAGGAACUACGUCGCCCAUAGCACCAUUUCGGAAAGCCCCAGAAACCAUAAUGGGCGGUGAAUAGGGGGCGCAAUUUUUCGGGCUCAAAUUCAGCCGUUUUGACCCUCAAACGGGCUGCGGAAAGUUAUGGCACGUAAAAAAGAUCGAAAGCGGAUUCUCAAGGUGUUUUUGAUGCUUUCUUAACGCCGUUAACCUCGAUGCACUUUUUCGCUCGAAACAAAACGGCAAGAAAAUCAUGCGCGCCCCACGGCCUUACACUUGGAUUGGCCGCGAAAAGGAUAUAUAGAAACGAGAGUGAUGUACUGACGGGUGCGAUCAUACCAGCACUAAUGCACCGGAUCCCAUCAGAACUCCGCAGUUAAGCGUGCUUGGGCGAGAGUAGUACUAGGAUGGGUGACCUCCCGGGAAGUCCUCGUGUUGCACCCCUUUUUAUUUUUUAAUUUUUUUUUAGCCUAAAACGAGUCUAAACUUGAAAACCUCAUAACUUUUGAACCGUGAGGAACUACGUCGCCCAUAGCACCAUUUCGGAAGCCCCAGAAACCAUAAUGGGCGGUGAAUAGGGGGCGCAAUUUUUCGGGCUCAAAUUCAGCCGUUUUGACCCUCAAACGGGCUGCGGAAAGUUAUGGCACGUAAAAAAGAUCGAAAGCGGAUUCUCAAGGUGUUUUUGAUGCUUUCUUAACGCCGUUAACCUCGAUGCACUUUUUCGCUCGAAACAAAACGGCAAGAAAAUCAUGCGCGCCCCACGGCCUUACACUUGGAUUGGCCGCGAAAAGGAUAUAUAGAAACGAGAGUGAUGUACUGACGGGUGCGAUCAUACCAGCACUAAUGCACCGGAUCCCAUCAGAACUCCGCAGUUAAGCGUGCUUGGGCGAGAGUAGUACUAGGAUGGGUGACCUCCCGGGAAGUCCUCGUGUUGCACCCCUUUUUAUUUUUUAAUUUUUUUUUAGCCUAAAACGAGUCUAAACUUGAAAACCUCAUAACUUUUGAACCGUGAGGAACUACGUCGCCCAUAGCACCAUUUCGGAAAGCCCCAGAAACCAUAAUGGGCGGUGAAUAGGGGGCGCAAUUUUUCGGGCUCAAAUUCAGCCGUUUUGACCCUCAAACGGGCUGCGGAAAGUUAUGGCACGUAAAAAAGAUCGAAAGCGGAUUCUCAAGGUGUUUUUGAUGCUUUCUUAACGCCGUUAACCUCGAUGCACUUUUUCGCUCGAAACAAAACGGCAAGAAAAUCAUGCGCGCCCCACGGCCUUACACUUGGAUUGGCCGCGAAAAGGAUAUAUAGAAACGAGAGUGAUGUACUGACGGGUGCGAUCAUACCAGCACUAAUGCACCGGAUCCCAUCAGAACUCCGCAGUUAAGCGUGCUUGGGCGAGAGUAGUACUAGGAUGGGUGACCUCCCGGGAAGUCCUCGUGUUGCACCCCUUUUUAUUUUUUAAUUUUUUUUUAGCCUAAAACGAGUCUAAACUUGAAAACCUCAUAACUUUUGAACCGUGAGGAACUACGUCGCCCAUAGCACCAUUUCGGAGCCCCAGAAACCAUAAUGGGCGGUGAAUAGGGGGCGCAAUUUUUCGGGCUCAAAUUCAGCCGUUUUGACCCUCAAACGGGCUGCGGAAAGUUAUGGCACGUAAAAAAGAUCGAAAGCGGAUUCUCAAGGUGUUUUUGAUGCUUUCUUAACGCCGUUAACCUCGAUGCACUUUUUCGCUCGAAACAAAACGGCAAGAAAAUCAUGCGCGCCCCACGGCCUUACACUUGGAUUGGCCGCGAAAAGGAUAUAUAGAAACGAGAGUGAUGUACUGACGGGUGCGAUCAUACCAGCACUAAUGCACCGGAUCCCAUCAGAACUCCGCAGUUAAGCGUGCUUGGGCGAGAGUAGUACUAGGAUGGGUGACCUCCCGGGAAGUCCUCGUGUUGCACCCCUUUUUAUUUUUUAAUUUUUUUUUAGCCUAAAACGAGUCUAAACUUGAAAACCUCAUAACUUUUGAACCGUGAGGAACUACGUCGCCCAUAGCACCAUUUCGGAAAGCCCCAGAAACCAUAAUGGGCGGUGAAUAGGGGGCGCAAUUUUUCGGGCUCAAAUUCAGCCGUUUUGACCCUCAAACGGGCUGCGGAAAGUUAUGGCACGUAAAAAAGAUCGAAAGCGGAUUCUCAAGGUGUUUUUGAUGCUUUCUUAACGCCGUUAACCUCGAUGCACUUUUUCGCUCGAAACAAAACGGCAAGAAAAUCAUGCGCGCCCCACGGCCUUACACUUGGAUUGGCCGCGAAAAGGAUAUAUAGAAACGAGAGUGAUGUACUGACGGGUGCGAUCAUACCAGCACUAAUGCACCGGAUCCCAUCAGAACUCCGCAGUUAAGCGUGCUUGGGCGAGAGUAGUACUAGGAUGGGUGACCUCCCGGGAAGUCCUCGUGUUGCACCCCUUUUUAUUUUUUAAUUUUUUUUUAGCCUAAAACGAGUCUAAACUUGAAAACCUCAUAACUUUUGAACCGUGAGGAACUACGUCGCCCAUAGCACCAUUUCGGAAAGCCCCAGAAACCAUAAUGGGCGGUGAAUAGGGGGCGCAAUUUUUCGGGCUCAAAUUCAGCCGUUUUGACCCUCAAACGGGCUGCGGAAAGUUAUGGCACGUAAAAAAGAUCGAAAGCGGAUUCUCAAGGUGUUUUUGAUGCUUUCUUAACGCCGUUAACCUCGAUGCACUUUUUCGCUCGAAACAAAACGGCAAGAAAAUCAUGCGCGCCCCACGGCCUUACACUUGGAUUGGCCGCGAAAAGGAUAUAUAGAAACGAGAGUGAUGUACUGACGGGUGCGAUCAUACCAGCACUAAUGCACCGGAUCCCAUCAGAACUCCGCAGUUAAGCGUGCUUGGGCGAGAGUAGUACUAGGAUGGGUGACCUCCCGGGAAGUCCUCGUGUUGCACCCCUUUUUAUUUUUUAAUUUUUUUUAGCCUAAAACGAGUCUAAACUUGAAAACCUCAUAACUUUUGAACCGUGAGGAACUACGUCGCCCAUAGCACCAUUUCGGAAAGCCCCAGAAACCAUAAUGGGCGGUGAAUAGGGGGCGCAAUUUUUCGGGCUCAAAUUCAGCCGUUUUGACCCUCAAACGGGCUGCGGAAAGUUAUGGCACGUAAAAAAGAUCGAAAGCGGAUUCUCAAGGUGUUUUUGAUGCUUUCUUAACGCCGUUAACCUCGAUGCACUUUUUCGCUCGAAACAAAACGGCAAGAAAAUCAUGCGCGCCCCACGGCCUUACACUUGGAUUGGCCGCGAAAAGGAUAUAUAGAAACGAGAGUGAUGUACUGACGGGUGCGAUCAUACCAGCACUAAUGCACCGGAUCCCAUCAGAACUCCGCAGUUAAGCGUGCUUGGGCGAGAGUAGUACUAGGAUGGGUGACCUCCCGGGAAGUCCUCGUGUUGCACCCCUUUUUAUUUUUUAAUUUUUUUUUAGCCUAAAACGAGUCUAAACUUGAAAACCUCAUAACUUUUGAACCGUGAGGAACUACGUCGCCCAUAGCACCAUUUCGGAAAGCCCCAGAAACCAUAAUGGGCGGUGAAUAGGGGGCGCAAUUUUUCGGGCUCAAAUUCAGCCGUUUUGACCCUCAAACGGGCUGCGGAAAGUUAUGGCACGUAAAAAAGAUCGAAAGCGGAUUCUCAAGGUGUUUUUGAUGCUUUCUUAACGCCGUUAACCUCGAUGCACUUUUUCGCUCGAAACAAAACGGCAAGAAAAUCAUGCGCGCCCCACGGCCUUACACUUGGAUUGGCCGCGAAAAGGAUAUAUAGAAACGAGAGUGAUGUACUGACGGGUGCGAUCAUACCAGCACUAAUGCACCGGAUCCCAUCAGAACUCCGCAGUUAAGCGUGCUUGGGCGAGAGUAGUACUAGGAUGGGUGACCUCCCGGGAAGUCCUCGUGUUGCACCCCUUUUUAUUUUUUAAUUUUUUUUUAGCCUAAAACGAGUCUAAACUUGAAAACCUCAUAACUUUUGAACCGUGAGGAACUACGUCGCCCAUAGCACCAUUUCGGAAAGCCCCAGAAACCAUAAUGGGCGGUGAAUAGGGGGCGCAAUUUUUCGGGCUCAAAUUCAGCCGUUUUGACCCUCAAACGGGCUGCGGAAAGUUAUGGCACGUAAAAAAGAUCGAAAGCGGAUUCUCAAGGUGUUUUUGAUGCUUUCUUAACGCCGUUAACCUCGAUGCACUUUUUCGCUCGAAACAAAACGGCAAGAAAAUCAUGCGCGCCCCACGGCCUUACACUUGGAUUGGCCGCGAAAAGGAUAUAUAGAAACGAGAGUGAUGUACUGACGGGUGCGAUCAUACCAGCACUAAUGCACCGGAUCCCAUCAGAACUCCGCAGUUAAGCGUGCUUGGGCGAGAGUAGUACUAGGAUGGGUGACCUCCCGGGAAGUCCUCGUGUUGCACCCCUUUUUAUUUUUUAAUUUUUUUUUAGCCUAAAACGAGUCUAAACUUGAAAACCUCAUAACUUUUGAACCGUGAGGAACUACGUCGCCCAUAGCACCAUUUCGGAAAGCCCCAGAAACCAUAAUGGGCGGUGAAUAGGGGGCGCAAUUUUUCGGGCUCAAAUUCAGCCGUUUUGACCCUCAAACGGGCUGCGGAAAGUUAUGGCACGUAAAAAAGAUCGAAAGCGGAUUCUCAAGGUGUUUUUGAUGCUUUCUUAACGCCGUUAACCUCGAUGCACUUUUUCGCUCGAAACAAAACGGCAAGAAAAUCAUGCGCGCCCCACGGCCUUACACUUGGAUUGGCCGCGAAAAGGAUAUAUAGAAACGAGAGUGAUGUACUGACGGGUGCGAUCAUACCAGCACUAAUGCACCGGAUCCCAUCAGAACUCCGCAGUUAAGCGUGCUUGGGCGAGAGUAGUACUAGGAUGGGUGACCUCCCGGGAAGUCCUCGUGUUGCACCCCUUUUUAUUUUUUAAUUUUUUUUUAGCCUAAAACGAGUCUAAACUUGAAAACCUCAUAACUUUUGAACCGUGAGGAACUACGUCGCCCAUAGCACCAUUUCGGAAAGCCCCAGAAACCAUAAUGGGCGGUGAAUAGGGGGCGCAAUUUUUCGGGCUCAAAUUCAGCCGUUUUGACCCUCAAACGGGCUGCGGAAAGUUAUGGCACGUAAAAAAGAUCGAAAGCGGAUUCUCAAGGUGUUUUUGAUGCUUUCUUAACGCCGUUAACCUCGAUGCACUUUUUCGCUCGAAACAAAACGGCAAGAAAAUCAUGCGCGCCCCACGGCCUUACACUUGGAUUGGCCGCGAAAAGGAUAUAUAGAAACGAGAGUGAUGUACUGACGGGUGCGAUCAUACCAGCACUAAUGCACCGGAUCCCAUCAGAACUCCGCAGUUAAGCGUGCUUGGGCGAGAGUAGUACUAGGAUGGGUGACCUCCCGGGAAGUCCUCGUGUUGCACCCCUUUUUAUUUUUUAAUUUUUUUUUAGCCUAAAACGAGUCUAAACUUGAAAACCUCAUAACUUUUGAACCGUGAGGAACUACGUCGCCCAUAGCACCAUUUCGGAAAGCCCCAGAAACCAUAAUGGGCGGUGAAUAGGGGGCGCAAUUUUUCGGGCUCAAAUUCAGCCGUUUUGACCCUCAAACGGGCUGCGGAAAGUUAUGGCACGUAAAAAAGAUCGAAAGCGGAUUCUCAAGGUGUUUUUGAUGCUUUCUUAACGCCGUUAACCUCGAUGCACUUUUUCGCUCGAAACAAAACGGCAAGAAAAUCAUGCGCGCCCCACGGCCUUACACUUGGAUUGGCCGCGAAAAGGAUAUAUAGAAACGAGAGUGAUGUACUGACGGGUGCGAUCAUACCAGCACUAAUGCACCGGAUCCCAUCAGAACUCCGCAGUUAAGCGUGCUUGGGCGAGAGUAGUACUAGGAUGGGUGACCUCCCGGGAAGUCCUCGUGUUGCACCCCUUUUUAUUUUUUAAUUUUUUUUUAGCCUAAAACGAGUCUAAACUUGAAAACCUCAUAACUUUUGAACCGUGAGGAACUACGUCGCCCAUAGCACCAUUUCGGAAAGCCCCAGAAACCAUAAUGGGCGGUGAAUAGGGGGCGCAAUUUUUCGGGCUCAAAUUCAGCCGUUUUGACCCUCAAACGGGCUGCGGAAAGUUAUGGCACGUAAAAAAGAUCGAAAGCGGAUUCUCAAGGUGUUUUUGAUGCUUUCUUAACGCCGUUAACCUCGAUGCACUUUUUCGCUCGAAACAAAACGGCAAGAAAAUCAUGCGCGCCCCACGGCCUUACACUUGGAUUGGCCGCGAAAAGGAUAUAUAGAAACGAGAGUGAUGUACUGACGGGUGCGAUCAUACCAGCACUAAUGCACCGGAUCCCAUCAGAACUCCGCAGUUAAGCGUGCUUGGGCGAGAGUAGUACUAGGAUGGGUGACCUCCCGGGAAGUCCUCGUGUUGCACCCCUUUUUAUUUUUUAAUUUUUUUUUAGCCUAAAACGAGUCUAAACUUGAAAACCUCAUAACUUUUGAACCGUGAGGAACUACGUCGCCCAUAGCACCAUUUCGGAAAGCCCCAGAAACCAUAAUGGGCGGUGAAUAGGGGGCGCAAUUUUUCGGGCUCAAAUUCAGCCGUUUUGACCCUCAAACGGGCUGCGGAAAGUUAUGGCACGUAAAAAAGAUCGAAAGCGGAUUCUCAAGGUGUUUUUGAUGCUUUCUUAACGCCGUUAACCUCGAUGCACUUUUUCGCUCGAAACAAAACGGCAAGAAAAUCAUGCGCGCCCCACGGCCUUACACUUGGAUUGGCCGCGAAAAGGAUAUAUAGAAACGAGAGUGAUGUACUGACGGGUGCGAUCAUACCAGCACUAAUGCACCGGAUCCCAUCAGAACUCCGCAGUUAAGCGUGCUUGGGCGAGAGUAGUACUAGGAUGGGUGACCUCCCGGGAAGUCCUCGUGUUGCACCCCUUUUUAUUUUUUAAUUUUUUUUUAGCCUAAAACGAGUCUAAACUUGAAAACCUCAUAACUUUUGAACCGUGAGGAACUACGUCGCCCAUAGCACCAUUUCGGAAAGCCCCAGAAACCAUAAUGGGCGGUGAAUAGGGGGCGCAAUUUUUCGGGCUCAAAUUCAGCCGUUUUGACCCUCAAACGGGCUGCGGAAAGUUAUGGCACGUAAAAAAGAUCGAAAGCGGAUUCUCAAGGUGUUUUUGAUGCUUUCUUAACGCCGUUAACCUCGAUGCACUUUUUCGCUCGAAACAAAACGGCAAGAAAAUCAUGCGCGCCCCACGGCCUUACACUUGGAUUGGCCGCGAAAAGGAUAUAUAGAAACGAGAGUGAUGUACUGACGGGUGCGAUCAUACCAGCACUAAUGCACCGGAUCCCAUCAGAACUCCGCAGUUAAGCGUGCUUGGGCGAGAGUAGUACUAGGAUGGGUGACCUCCCGGGAAGUCCUCGUGUUGCACCCCUUUUUAUUUUUUAAUUUUUUUUUAGCCUAAAACGAGUCUAAACUUGAAAACCUCAUAACUUUUGAACCGUGAGGAACUACGUCGCCCAUAGCACCAUUUCGGAAAGCCCCAGAAACCAUAAUGGGCGGUGAAUAGGGGGCGCAAUUUUUCGGGCUCAAAUUCAGCCGUUUUGACCCUCAAACGGGCUGCGGAAAGUUAUGGCACGUAAAAAAGAUCGAAAGCGGAUUCUCAAGGUGUUUUUGAUGCUUUCUUAACGCCGUUAACCUCGAUGCACUUUUUCGCUCGAAACAAAACGGCAAGAAAAUCAUGCGCGCCCCACGGCCUUACACUUGGAUUGGCCGCGAAAAGGAUAUAUAGAAACGAGAGUGAUGUACUGACGGGUGCGAUCAUACCAGCACUAAUGCACCGGAUCCCAUCAGAACUCCGCAGUUAAGCGUGCUUGGGCGAGAGUAGUACUAGGAUGGGUGACCUCCCGGGAAGUCCUCGUGUUGCACCCCUUUUUAUUUUUUAAUUUUUUUUUAGCCUAAAACGAGUCUAAACUUGAAAACCUCAUAACUUUUGAACCGUGAGGAACUACGUCGCCCAUAGCACCAUUUCGGAAAGCCCCAGAAACCAUAAUGGGCGGUGAAUAGGGGGCGCAAUUUUUCGGGCUCAAAUUCAGCCGUUUUGACCCUCAAACGGGCUGCGGAAAGUUAUGGCACGUAAAAAAGAUCGAAAGCGGAUUCUCAAGGUGUUUUUGAUGCUUUCUUAACGCCGUUAACCUCGAUGCACUUUUUCGCUCGAAACAAAACGGCAAGAAAAUCAUGCGCGCCCCACGGCCUUACACUUGGAUUGGCCGCGAAAAGGAUAUAUAGAAACGAGAGUGAUGUACUGACGGGUGCGAUCAUACCAGCACUAAUGCACCGGAUCCCAUCAGAACUCCGCAGUUAAGCGUGCUUGGGCGAGAGUAGUACUAGGAUGGGUGACCUCCCGGGAAGUCCUCGUGUUGCACCCCUUUUUAUUUUUUAAUUUUUUUUUAGCCUAAAACGAGUCUAAACUUGAAAACCUCAUAACUUUUGAACCGUGAGGAACUACGUCGCCCAUAGCACCAUUUCGGAAAGCCCCAGAAACCAUAAUGGGCGGUGAAUAGGGGGCGCAAUUUUUCGGGCUCAAAUUCAGCCGUUUUGACCCUCAAACGGGCUGCGGAAAGUUAUGGCACGUAAAAAAGAUCGAAAGCGGAUUCUCAAGGUGUUUUUGAUGCUUUCUUAACGCCGUUAACCUCGAUGCACUUUUUCGCUCGAAACAAAACGGCAAGAAAAUCAUGCGCGCCCCACGGCCUUACACUUGGAUUGGCCGCGAAAAGGAUAUAUAGAAACGAGAGUGAUGUACUGACGGGUGCGAUCAUACCAGCACUAAUGCACCGGAUCCCAUCAGAACUCCGCAGUUAAGCGUGCUUGGGCGAGAGUAGUACUAGGAUGGGUGACCUCCCGGGAAGUCCUCGUGUUGCACCCCUUUUUAUUUUUUAAUUUUUUUUAGCCUAAAACGAGUCUAAACUUGAAAACCUCAUAACUUUUGAACCGUGAGGAACUACGUCGCCCAUAGCACCAUUUCGGAAAGCCCCAGAAACCAUAAUGGGCGGUGAAUAGGGGGCGCAAUUUUUCGGGCUCAAAUUCAGCCGUUUUGACCCUCAAACGGGCUGCGGAAAGUUAUGGCACGUAAAAAAGAUCGAAAGCGGAUUCUCAAGGUGUUUUUGAUGCUUUCUUAACGCCGUUAACCUCGAUGCACUUUUUCGCUCGAAACAAAACGGCAAGAAAAUCAUGCGCGCCCCACGGCCUUACACUUGGAUUGGCCGCGAAAAGGAUAUAUAGAAACGAGAGUGAUGUACUGUCGGGUGCGAUCAUACCAGCACUAAUGCACCGGAUCCCAUCAGAACUCCGCAGUUAAGCGUGCUUGGGCGAGAGUAGUACUAGGAUGGGUGACCUCCCGGGAAGUCCUCGUGUUGCACCCCUUUUUAUUUUUUAAUUUUUUUUUAGCCUAAAACGAGUCUAAACUUGAAAACCUCAUAACUUUUGAACCGUGAGGAACUACGUCGCCCAUAGCACCAUUUCGGAAAGCCCCAGAAACCAUAAUGGGCGGUGAAUAGGGGGCGCAAUUUUUCGGGCUCAAAUUCAGCCGUUUUGACCCUCAAACGGGCUGCGGAAAGUUAUGGCACGUAAAAAAGAUCGAAAGCGGAUUCUCAAGGUGUUUUUGAUGCUUUCUUAACGCCGUUAACCUCGAUGCACUUUUUCGCUCGAAACAAAACGGCAAGAAAAUCAUGCGCGCCCCACGGCCUUACACUUGGAUUGGCCGCGAAAAGGAUAUAUAGAAACGAGAGUGAUGUACUGACGGGUGCGAUCAUACCAGCACUAAUGCACCGGAUCCCAUCAGAACUCCGCAGUUAAGCGUGCUUGGGCGAGAGUAGUACUAGGAUGGGUGACCUCCCGGGAAGUCCUCGUGUUGCACCCCUUUUUAUUUUUUAAUUUUUUUUUAGCCUAAAACGAGUCUAAACUUGAAAACCUCAUAACUUUUGAACCGUGAGGAACUACGUCGCCCAUAGCACCAUUUCGGAAAGCCCCAGAAACCAUAAUGGGCGGUGAAUAGGGGGCGCAAUUUUUCGGGCUCAAAUUCAGCCGUUUUGACCCUCAAACGGGCUGCGGAAAGUUAUGGCACGUAAAAAAGAUCGAAAGCGGAUUCUCAAGGUGUUUUUGAUGCUUUCUUAACGCCGUUAACCUCGAUGCACUUUUUCGCUCGAAACAAAACGGCAAGAAAAUCAUGCGCGCCCCACGGCCUUACACUUGGAUUGGCCGCGAAAAGGAUAUAUAGAAACGAGAGUGAUGUACUGACGGGUGCGAUCAUACCAGCACUAAUGCACCGGAUCCCAUCAGAACUCCGCAGUUAAGCGUGCUUGGGCGAGAGUAGUACUAGGAUGGGUGACCUCCCGGGAAGUCCUCGUGUUGCACCCCUUUUUAUUUUUUAAUUUUUUUUUAGCCUAAAACGAGUCUAAACUUGAAAACCUCAUAACUUUUGAACCGUGAGGAACUACGUCGCCCAUAGCACCAUUUCGGAAAGCCCCAGAAACCAUAAUGGGCGGUGAAUAGGGGGCGCAAUUUUUCGGGCUCAAAUUCAGCCGUUUUGACCCUCAAACGGGCUGCGGAAAGUUAUGGCACGUAAAAAAGAUCGAAAGCGGAUUCUCAAGGUGUUUUUGAUGCUUUCUUAACGCCGUUAACCUCGAUGCACUUUUUCGCUCGAAACAAAACGGCAAGAAAAUCAUGCGCGCCCCACGGCCUUACACUUGGAUUGGCCGCGAAAAGGAUAUAUAGAAACGAGAGUGAUGUACUGUCGGGUGCGAUCAUACCAGCACUAAUGCACCGGAUCCCAUCAGAACUCCGCAGUUAAGCGUGCUUGGGCGAGAGUAGUACUAGGAUGGGUGACCUCCCGGGAAGUCCUCGUGUUGCACCCCUUUUUAUUUUUUAAUUUUUUUUUAGCCUAAAACGAGUCUAAACUUGAAAACCUCAUAACUUUUGAACCGUGAGGAACUACGUCGCCCAUAGCACCAUUUCGGAAAGCCCCAGAAACCAUAAUGGGCGGUGAAUAGGGGGCGCAAUUUUUCGGGCUCAAAUUCAGCCGUUUUGACCCUCAAACGGGCUGCGGAAAGUUAUGGCACGUAAAAAAGAUCGAAAGCGGAUUCUCAAGGUGUUUUUGAUGCUUUCUUAACGCCGUUAACCUCGAUGCACUUUUUCGCUCGAAACAAAACGGCAAGAAAAUCAUGCGCGCCCCACGGCCUUACACUUGGAUUGGCCGCGAAAAGGAUAUAUAGAAACGAGAGUGAUGUACUGUCGGGUGCGAUCAUACCAGCACUAAUGCACCGGAUCCCAUCAGAACUCCGCAGUUAAGCGUGCUUGGGCGAGAGUAGUACUAGGAUGGGUGACCUCCCGGGAAGUCCUCGUGUUGCACCCCUUUUUAUUUUUUAAUUUUUUUUUAGCCUAAAACGAGUCUAAACUUGAAAACCUCAUAACUUUUGAACCGUGAGGAACUACGUCGCCCAUAGCACCAUUUCGGAAAGCCCCAGAAACCAUAAUGGGCGGUGAAUAGGGGGCGCAAUUUUUCGGGCUCAAAUUCAGCCGUUUUGACCCUCAAACGGGCUGCGGAAAGUUAUGGCACGUAAAAAAGAUCGAAAGCGGAUUCUCAAGGUGUUUUUGAUGCUUUCUUAACGCCGUUAACCUCGAUGCACUUUUUCGCUCGAAACAAAACGGCAAGAAAAUCAUGCGCGCCCCACGGCCUUACACUUGGAUUGGCCGCGAAAAGGAUAUAUAGAAACGAGAGUGAUGUACUGACGGGUGCGAUCAUACCAGCACUAAUGCACCGGAUCCCAUCAGAACUCCGCAGUUAAGCGUGCUUGGGCGAGAGUAGUACUAGGAUGGGUGACCUCCCGGGAAGUCCUCGUGUUGCACCCCUUUUUAUUUUUUAAUUUUUUUUUAGCCUAAAACGAGUCUAAACUUGAAAACCUCAUAACUUUUGAACCGUGAGGAACUACGUCGCCCAUAGCACCAUUUCGGAAAGCCCCAGAAACCAUAAUGGGCGGUGAAUAGGGGGCGCAAUUUUUCGGGCUCAAAUUCAGCCGUUUUGACCCUCAAACGGGCUGCGGAAAGUUAUGGCACGUAAAAAAGAUCGAAAGCGGAUUCUCAAGGUGUUUUUGAUGCUUUCUUAACGCCGUUAACCUCGAUGCACUUUUUCGCUCGAAACAAAACGGCAAGAAAAUCAUGCGCGCCCCACGGCCUUACACUUGGAUUGGCCGCGAAAAGGAUAUAUAGAAACGAGAGUGAUGUACUGACGGGUGCGAUCAUACCAGCACUAAUGCACCGGAUCCCAUCAGAACUCCGCAGUUAAGCGUGCUUGGGCGAGAGUAGUACUAGGAUGGGUGACCUCCCGGGAAGUCCUCGUGUUGCACCCCUUUUUAUUUUUUAAUUUUUUUUUAGCCUAAAACGAGUCUAAACUUGAAAACCCAUAACUUUUGAACCGUGAGGAACUACGUCGCCCAUAGCACCAUUUCGGAAAGCCCCAGAAACCAUAAUGGGCGGUGAAUAGGGGGCGCAAUUUUUCGGGCUCAAAUUCAGCCGUUUUGACCCUCAAACGGGCUGCGGAAAGUUAUGGCACGUAAAAAAGAUCGAAAGCGGAUUCUCAAGGUGUUUUUGAUGCUUUCUUAACGCCGUUAACCUCGAUGCACUUUUUCGCUCGAAACAAAACGGCAAGAAAAUCAUGCGCGCCCCACGGCCUUACACUUGGAUUGGCCGCGAAAAGGAUAUAUAGAAACGAGAGUGAUGUACUGUCGGGUGCGAUCAUACCAGCACUAAUGCACCGGAUCCCAUCAGAACUCCGCAGUUAAGCGUGCUUGGGCGAGAGUAGUACUAGGAUGGGUGACCUCCCGGGAAGUCCUCGUGUUGCACCCCUUUUUAUUUUUUAAUUUUUUUUUAGCCUAAAACGAGUCUAAACUUGAAAACCUCAUAACUUUUGAACCGUGAGGAACUACGUCGCCCAUAGCACCAUUUCGGAAAGCCCCAGAAACCAUAAUGGGCGGUGAAUAGGGGGCGCAAUUUUUCGGGCUCAAAUUCAGCCGUUUUGACCCUCAAACGGGCUGCGGAAAGUUAUGGCACGUAAAAAAGAUCGAAAGCGGAUUCUCAAGGUGUUUUUGAUGCUUUCUUAACGCCGUUAACCUCGAUGCACUUUUUCGCUCGAAACAAAACGGCAAGAAAAUCAUGCGCGCCCCACGGCCUUACACUUGGAUUGGCCGCGAAAAGGAUAUAUAGAAACGAGAGUGAUGUACUGUCGGGUGCGAUCAUACCAGCACUAAUGCACCGGAUCCCAUCAGAACUCCGCAGUUAAGCGUGCUUGGGCGAGAGUAGUACUAGGAUGGGUGACCUCCCGGGAAGUCCUCGUGUUGCACCCCUUUUUAUUUUUUAAUUUUUUUUUAGCCUAAAACGAGUCUAAACUUGAAAACCUCAUAACUUUUGAACCGUGAGGAACUACGUCGCCCAUAGCACCAUUUCGGAAAGCCCCAGAAACCAUAAUGGGCGGUGAAUAGGGGGCGCAAUUUUUCGGGCUCAAAUUCAGCCGUUUUGACCCUCAAACGGGCUGCGGAAAGUUAUGGCACGUAAAAAAGAUCGAAAGCGGAUUCUCAAGGUGUUUUUGAUGCUUUCUUAACGCCGUUAACCUCGAUGCACUUUUUCGCUCGAAACAAAACGGCAAGAAAAUCAUGCGCGCCCCACGGCCUUACACUUGGAUUGGCCGCGAAAAGGAUAUAUAGAAACGAGAGUGAUGUACUGUCGGGUGCGAUCAUACCAGCACUAAUGCACCGGAUCCCAUCAGAACUCCGCAGUUAAGCGUGCUUGGGCGAGAGUAGUACUAGGAUGGGUGACCUCCCGGGAAGUCCUCGUGUUGCACCCCUUUUUAUUUUUUAAUUUUUUUUUAGCCUAAAACGAGUCUAAACUUGAAAACCUCAUAACUUUUGAACCGUGAGGAACUACGUCGCCCAUAGCACCAUUUCGGAAAGCCCCAGAAACCAUAAUGGGCGGUGAAUAGGGGGCGCAAUUUUUCGGGCUCAAAUUCAGCCGUUUUGACCCUCAAACGGGCUGCGGAAAGUUAUGGCACGUAAAAAAGAUCGAAAGCGGAUUCUCAAGGUGUUUUUGAUGCUUUCUUAACGCCGUUAACCUCGAUGCACUUUUUCGCUCGAAACAAAACGGCAAGAAAAUCAUGCGCGCCCCACGGCCUUACACUUGGAUUGGCCGCGAAAAGGAUAUAUAGAAACGAGAGUGAUGUACUGUCGGGUGCGAUCAUACCAGCACUAAUGCACCGGAUCCCAUCAGAACUCCGCAGUUAAGCGUGCUUGGGCGAGAGUAGUACUAGGAUGGGUGACCUCCCGGGAAGUCCUCGUGUUGCACCCCUUUUUAUUUUUUAAUUUUUUUUUAGCCUAAAACGAGUCUAAACUUGAAAACCUCAUAACUUUUGAACCGUGAGGAACUACGUCGCCCAUAGCACCAUUUCGGAAAGCCCCAGAAACCAUAAUGGGCGGUGAAUAGGGGGCGCAAUUUUUCGGGCUCAAAUUCAGCCGUUUUGACCCUCAAACGGGCUGCGGAAAGUUAUGGCACGUAAAAAAGAUCGAAAGCGGAUUCUCAAGGUGUUUUUGAUGCUUUCUUAACGCCGUUAACCUCGAUGCACUUUUUCGCUCGAAACAAAACGGCAAGAAAAUCAUGCGCGCCCCACGGCCUUACACUUGGAUUGGCCGCGAAAAGGAUAUAUAGAAACGAGAGUGAUGUACUGUCGGGUGCGAUCAUACCAGCACUAAUGCACCGGAUCCCAUCAGAACUCCGCAGUUAAGCGUGCUUGGGCGAGAGUAGUACUAGGAUGGGUGACCUCCCGGGAAGUCCUCGUGUUGCACCCCUUUUUAUUUUUUAAUUUUUUUUUAGCCUAAAACGAGUCUAAACUUGAAAACCUCAUAACUUUUGAACCGUGAGGAACUACGUCGCCCAUAGCACCAUUUCGGAAAGCCCCAGAAACCAUAAUGGGCGGUGAAUAGGGGGCGCAAUUUUUCGGGCUCAAAUUCAGCCGUUUUGACCCUCAAACGGGCUGCGGAAAGUUAUGGCACGUAAAAAAGAUCGAAAGCGGAUUCUCAAGGUGUUUUUGAUGCUUUCUUAACGCCGUUAACCUCGAUGCACUUUUUCGCUCGAAACAAAACGGCAAGAAAAUCAUGCGCGCCCCACGGCCUUACACUUGGAUUGGCCGCGAAAAGGAUAUAUAGAAACGAGAGUGAUGUACUGUCGGGUGCGAUCAUACCAGCACUAAUGCACCGGAUCCCAUCAGAACUCCGCAGUUAAGCGUGCUUGGGCGAGAGUAGUACUAGGAUGGGUGACCUCCCGGGAAGUCCUCGUGUUGCACCCCUUUUUAUUUUUUAAUUUUUUUUUAGCCUAAAACGAGUCUAAACUUGAAAACCUCAUAACUUUUGAACCGUGAGGAACUACGUCGCCCAUAGCACCAUUUCGGAAAGCCCCAGAAACCAUAAUGGGCGGUGAAUAGGGGGCGCAAUUUUUCGGGCUCAAAUUCAGCCGUUUUGACCCUCAAACGGGCUGCGGAAAGUUAUGGCACGUAAAAAAGAUCGAAAGCGGAUUCUCAAGGUGUUUUUGAUGCUUUCUUAACGCCGUUAACCUCGAUGCACUUUUUCGCUCGAAACAAAACGGCAAGAAAAUCAUGCGCGCCCCACGGCCUUACACUUGGAUUGGCCGCGAAAAGGAUAUAUAGAAACGAGAGUGAUGUACUGUCGGGUGCGAUCAUACCAGCACUAAUGCACCGGAUCCCAUCAGAACUCCGCAGUUAAGCGUGCUUGGGCGAGAGUAGUACUAGGAUGGGUGACCUCCCGGGAAGUCCUCGUGUUGCACCCCUUUUUAUUUUUUAAUUUUUUUUUAGCCUAAAACGAGUCUAAACUUGAAAACCUCAUAACUUUUGAACCGUGAGGAACUACGUCGCCCAUAGCACCAUUUCGGAAAGCCCCAGAAACCAUAAUGGGCGGUGAAUAGGGGGCGCAAUUUUUCGGGCUCAAAUUCAGCCGUUUUGACCCUCAAACGGGCUGCGGAAAGUUAUGGCACGUAAAAAAGAUCGAAAGCGGAUUCUCAAGGUGUUUUUGAUGCUUUCUUAACGCCGUUAACCUCGAUGCACUUUUUCGCUCGAAACAAAACGGCAAGAAAAUCAUGCGCGCCCCACGGCCUUACACUUGGAUUGGCCGCGAAAAGGAUAUAUAGAAACGAGAGUGAUGUACUGUCGGGUGCGAUCAUACCAGCACUAAUGCACCGGAUCCCAUCAGAACUCCGCAGUUAAGCGUGCUUGGGCGAGAGUAGUACUAGGAUGGGUGACCUCCCGGGAAGUCCUCGUGUUGCACCCCUUUUUAUUUUUUAAUUUUUUUUUAGCCUAAAACGAGUCUAAACUUGAAAACCCAUAACUUUUGAACCGUGAGGAACUACGUCGCCCAUAGCACCAUUUCGGAAAGCCCCAGAAACCAUAAUGGGCGGUGAAUAGGGGGCGCAAUUUUUCGGGCUCAAAUUCAGCCGUUUUGACCCUCAAACGGGCUGCGGAAAGUUAUGGCACGUAAAAAAGAUCGAAAGCGGAUUCUCAAGGUGUUUUUGAUGCUUUCUUAACGCCGUUAACCUCGAUGCACUUUUUCGCUCGAAACAAAACGGCAAGAAAAUCAUGCGCGCCCCACGGCCUUACACUUGGAUUGGCCGCGAAAAGGAUAUAUAGAAACGAGAGUGAUGUACUGUCGGGUGCGAUCAUACCAGCACUAAUGCACCGGAUCCCAUCAGAACUCCGCAGUUAAGCGUGCUUGGGCGAGAGUAGUACUAGGAUGGGUGACCUCCCGGGAAGUCCUCGUGUUGCACCCCUUUUUAUUUUUUAAUUUUUUUUUAGCCUAAAACGAGUCUAAACUUGAAAACCCAUAACUUUUGAACCGUGAGGAACUACGUCGCCCAUAGCACCAUUUCGGAAAGCCCCAGAAACCAUAAUGGGCGGUGAAUAGGGGGCGCAAUUUUUCGGGCUCAAAUUCAGCCGUUUUGACCCUCAAACGGGCUGCGGAAAGUUAUGGCACGUAAAAAAGAUCGAAAGCGGAUUCUCAAGGUGUUUUUGAUGCUUUCUUAACGCCGUUAACCUCGAUGCACUUUUUCGCUCGAAACAAAACGGCAAGAAAAUCAUGCGCGCCCCACGGCCUUACACUUGGAUUGGCCGCGAAAAGGAUAUAUAGAAACGAGAGUGAUGUACUGUCGGGUGCGAUCAUACCAGCACUAAUGCACCGGAUCCCAUCAGAACUCCGCAGUUAAGCGUGCUUGGGCGAGAGUAGUACUAGGAUGGGUGACCUCCCGGGAAGUCCUCGUGUUGCACCCCUUUUUAUUUUUUAAUUUUUUUUUAGCCUAAAACGAGUCUAAACUUGAAAACCCAUAACUUUUGAACCGUGAGGAACUACGUCGCCCAUAGCACCAUUUCGGAAAGCCCCAGAAACCAUAAUGGGCGGUGAAUAGGGGGCGCAAUUUUUCGGGCUCAAAUUCAGCCGUUUUGACCCUCAAACGGGCUGCGGAAAGUUAUGGCACGUAAAAAAGAUCGAAAGCGGAUUCUCAAGGUGUUUUUGAUGCUUUCUUAACGCCGUUAACCUCGAUGCACUUUUUCGCUCGAAACAAAACGGCAAGAAAAUCAUGCGCGCCCCACGGCCUUACACUUGGAUUGGCCGCGAAAAGGAUAUAUAGAAACGAGAGUGAUGUACUGUCGGGUGCGAUCAUACCAGCACUAAUGCACCGGAUCCCAUCAGAACUCCGCAGUUAAGCGUGCUUGGGCGAGAGUAGUACUAGGAUGGGUGACCUCCCGGGAAGUCCUCGUGUUGCACCCCUUUUUAUUUUUUAAUUUUUUUUUAGCCUAAAACGAGUCUAAACUUGAAAACCCAUAACUUUUGAACCGUGAGGAACUACGUCGCCCAUAGCACCAUUUCGGAAAGCCCCAGAAACCAUAAUGGGCGGUGAAUAGGGGGCGCAAUUUUUCGGGCUCAAAUUCAGCCGUUUUGACCCUCAAACGGGCUGCGGAAAGUUAUGGCACGUAAAAAAGAUCGAAAGCGGAUUCUCAAGGUGUUUUUGAUGCUUUCUUAACGCCGUUAACCUCGAUGCACUUUUUCGCUCGAAACAAAACGGCAAGAAAAUCAUGCGCGCCCCACGGCCUUACACUUGGAUUGGCCGCGAAAAGGAUAUAUAGAAACGAGAGUGAUGUACUGUCGGGUGCGAUCAUACCAGCACUAAUGCACCGGAUCCCAUCAGAACUCCGCAGUUAAGCGUGCUUGGGCGAGAGUAGUACUAGGAUGGGUGACCUCCCGGGAAGUCCUCGUGUUGCACCCCUUUUUAUUUUUUAAUUUUUUUUUAGCCUAAAACGAGUCUAAACUUGAAAACCCAUAACUUUUGAACCGUGAGGAACUACGUCGCCCAUAGCACCAUUUCGGAAAGCCCCAGAAACCAUAAUGGGCGGUGAAUAGGGGGCGCAAUUUUUCGGGCUCAAAUUCAGCCGUUUUGACCCUCAAACGGGCUGCGGAAAGUUAUGGCACGUAAAAAAGAUCGAAAGCGGAUUCUCAAGGUGUUUUUGAUGCUUUCUUAACGCCGUUAACCUCGAUGCACUUUUUCGCUCGAAACAAAACGGCAAGAAAAUCAUGCGCGCCCCACGGCCUUACACUUGGAUUGGCCGCGAAAAGGAUAUAUAGAAACGAGAGUGAUGUACUGUCGGGUGCGAUCAUACCAGCACUAAUGCACCGGAUCCCAUCAGAACUCCGCAGUUAAGCGUGCUUGGGCGAGAGUAGUACUAGGAUGGGUGACCUCCCGGGAAGUCCUCGUGUUGCACCCCUUUUUAUUUUUUAAUUUUUUUUUAGCCUAAAACGAGUCUAAACUUGAAAACCCAUAACUUUUGAACCGUGAGGAACUACGUCGCCCAUAGCACCAUUUCGGAAAGCCCCAGAAACCAUAAUGGGCGGUGAAUAGGGGGCGCAAUUUUUCGGGCUCAAAUUCAGCCGUUUUGACCCUCAAACGGGCUGCGGAAAGUUAUGGCACGUAAAAAAGAUCGAAAGCGGAUUCUCAAGGUGUUUUUGAUGCUUUCUUAACGCCGUUAACCUCGAUGCACUUUUUCGCUCGAAACAAAACGGCAAGAAAAUCAUGCGCGCCCCACGGCCUUACACUUGGAUUGGCCGCGAAAAGGAUAUAUAGAAACGAGAGUGAUGUACUGUCGGGUGCGAUCAUACCAGCACUAAUGCACCGGAUCCCAUCAGAACUCCGCAGUUAAGCGUGCUUGGGCGAGAGUAGUACUAGGAUGGGUGACCUCCCGGGAAGUCCUCGUGUUGCACCCCUUUUUAUUUUUUAAUUUUUUUUUAGCCUAAAACGAGUCUAAACUUGAAAACCCAUAACUUUUGAACCGUGAGGAACUACGUCGCCCAUAGCACCAUUUCGGAAAGCCCCAGAAACCAUAAUGGGCGGUGAAUAGGGGGCGCAAUUUUUCGGGCUCAAAUUCAGCCGUUUUGACCCUCAAACGGGCUGCGGAAAGUUAUGGCACGUAAAAAAGAUCGAAAGCGGAUUCUCAAGGUGUUUUUGAUGCUUUCUUAACGCCGUUAACCUCGAUGCACUUUUUCGCUCGAAACAAAACGGCAAGAAAAUCAUGCGCGCCCCACGGCCUUACACUUGGAUUGGCCGCGAAAAGGAUAUAUAGAAACGAGAGUGAUGUACUGUCGGGUGCGAUCAUACCAGCACUAAUGCACCGGAUCCCAUCAGAACUCCGCAGUUAAGCGUGCUUGGGCGAGAGUAGUACUAGGAUGGGUGACCUCCCGGGAAGUCCUCGUGUUGCACCCCUUUUUAUUUUUUAAUUUUUUUUUAGCCUAAAACGAGUCUAAACUUGAAAACCCAUAACUUUUGAACCGUGAGGAACUACGUCGCCCAUAGCACCAUUUCGGAAAGCCCCAGAAACCAUAAUGGGCGGUGAAUAGGGGGCGCAAUUUUUCGGGCUCAAAUUCAGCCGUUUUGACCCUCAAACGGGCUGCGGAAAGUUAUGGCACGUAAAAAAGAUCGAAAGCGGAUUCUCAAGGUGUUUUUGAUGCUUUCUUAACGCCGUUAACCUCGAUGCACUUUUUCGCUCGAAACAAAACGGCAAGAAAAUCAUGCGCGCCCCACGGCCUUACACUUGGAUUGGCCGCGAAAAGGAUAUAUAGAAACGAGAGUGAUGUACUGUCGGGUGCGAUCAUACCAGCACUAAUGCACCGGAUCCCAUCAGAACUCCGCAGUUAAGCGUGCUUGGGCGAGAGUAGUACUAGGAUGGGUGACCUCCCGGGAAGUCCUCGUGUUGCACCCCUUUUUAUUUUUUAAUUUUUUUUUAGCCUAAAACGAGUCUAAACUUGAAAACCCAUAACUUUUGAACCGUGAGGAACUACGUCGCCCAUAGCACCAUUUCGGAAAGCCCCAGAAACCAUAAUGGGCGGUGAAUAGGGGGCGCAAUUUUUCGGGCUCAAAUUCAGCCGUUUUGACCCUCAAACGGGCUGCGGAAAGUUAUGGCACGUAAAAAAGAUCGAAAGCGGAUUCUCAAGGUGUUUUUGAUGCUUUCUUAACGCCGUUAACCUCGAUGCACUUUUUCGCUCGAAACAAAACGGCAAGAAAAUCAUGCGCGCCCCACGGCCUUACACUUGGAUUGGCCGCGAAAAGGAUAUAUAGAAACGAGAGUGAUGUACUGUCGGGUGCGAUCAUACCAGCACUAAUGCACCGGAUCCCAUCAGAACUCCGCAGUUAAGCGUGCUUGGGCGAGAGUAGUACUAGGAUGGGUGACCUCCCGGGAAGUCCUCGUGUUGCACCCCUUUUUAUUUUUUAAUUUUUUUUUAGCCUAAAACGAGUCUAAACUUGAAAACCCAUAACUUUUGAACCGUGAGGAACUACGUCGCCCAUAGCACCAUUUCGGAAAGCCCCAGAAACCAUAAUGGGCGGUGAAUAGGGGGCGCAAUUUUUCGGGCUCAAAUUCAGCCGUUUUGACCCUCAAACGGGCUGCGGAAAGUUAUGGCACGUAAAAAAGAUCGAAAGCGGAUUCUCAAGGUGUUUUUGAUGCUUUCUUAACGCCGUUAACCUCGAUGCACUUUUUCGCUCGAAACAAAACGGCAAGAAAAUCAUGCGCGCCCCACGGCCUUACACUUGGAUUGGCCGCGAAAAGGAUAUAUAGAAACGAGAGUGAUGUACUGUCGGGUGCGAUCAUACCAGCACUAAUGCACCGGAUCCCAUCAGAACUCCGCAGUUAAGCGUGCUUGGGCGAGAGUAGUACUAGGAUGGGUGACCUCCCGGGAAGUCCUCGUGUUGCACCCCUUUUUAUUUUUUAAUUUUUUUUUAGCCUAAAACGAGUCUAAACUUGAAAACCCAUAACUUUUGAACCGUGAGGAACUACGUCGCCCAUAGCACCAUUUCGGAAAGCCCCAGAAACCAUAAUGGGCGGUGAAUAGGGGGCGCAAUUUUUCGGGCUCAAAUUCAGCCGUUUUGACCCUCAAACGGGCUGCGGAAAGUUAUGGCACGUAAAAAAGAUCGAAAGCGGAUUCUCAAGGUGUUUUUGAUGCUUUCUUAACGCCGUUAACCUCGAUGCACUUUUUCGCUCGAAACAAAACGGCAAGAAAAUCAUGCGCGCCCCACGGCCUUACACUUGGAUUGGCCGCGAAAAGGAUAUAUAGAAACGAGAGUGAUGUACUGUCGGGUGCGAUCAUACCAGCACUAAUGCACCGGAUCCCAUCAGAACUCCGCAGUUAAGCGUGCUUGGGCGAGAGUAGUACUAGGAUGGGUGACCUCCCGGGAAGUCCUCGUGUUGCACCCCUUUUUAUUUUUUAAUUUUUUUUUAGCCUAAAACGAGUCUAAACUUGAAAACCCCAUAACUUUUGAACCGUGAGGAACUACGUCGCCCAUAGCACCAUUUCGGAAAGCCCCAGAAACCAUAAUGGGCGGUGAAUAGGGGGCGCAAUUUUUCGGGCUCAAAUUCAGCCGUUUUGACCCUCAAACGGGCUGCGGAAAGUUAUGGCACGUAAAAAAGAUCGAAAGCGGAUUCUCAAGGUGUUUUUGAUGCUUUCUUAACGCCGUUAACCUCGAUGCACUUUUUCGCUCGAAACAAAACGGCAAGAAAAUCAUGCGCGCCCCACGGCCUUACACUUGGAUUGGCCGCGAAAAGGAUAUAUAGAAACGAGAGUGAUGUACUGUCGGGUGCGAUCAUACCAGCACUAAUGCACCGGAUCCCAUCAGAACUCCGCAGUUAAGCGUGCUUGGGCGAGAGUAGUACUAGGAUGGGUGACCUCCCGGGAAGUCCUCGUGUUGCACCCCUUUUUAUUUUUUAAUUUUUUUUUAGCCUAAAACGAGUCUAAACUUGAAAACCCAUAACUUUUGAACCGUGAGGAACUACGUCGCCCAUAGCACCAUUUCGGAAAGCCCCAGAAACCAUAAUGGGCGGUGAAUAGGGGGCGCAAUUUUUCGGGCUCAAAUUCAGCCGUUUUGACCCUCAAACGGGCUGCGGAAAGUUAUGGCACGUAAAAAAGAUCGAAAGCGGAUUCUCAAGGUGUUUUUGAUGCUUUCUUAACGCCGUUAACCUCGAUGCACUUUUUCGCUCGAAACAAAACGGCAAGAAAAUCAUGCGCGCCCCACGGCCUUACACUUGGAUUGGCCGCGAAAAGGAUAUAUAGAAACGAGAGUGAUGUACUGUCGGGUGCGAUCAUACCAGCACUAAUGCACCGGAUCCCAUCAGAACUCCGCAGUUAAGCGUGCUUGGGCGAGAGUAGUACUAGGAUGGGUGACCUCCCGGGAAGUCCUCGUGUUGCACCCCUUUUUAUUUUUUAAUUUUUUUUUAGCCUAAAACGAGUCUAAACUUGAAAACCCAUAACUUUUGAACCGUGAGGAACUACGUCGCCCAUAGCACCAUUUCGGAAAGCCCCAGAAACCAUAAUGGGCGGUGAAUAGGGGGCGCAAUUUUUCGGGCUCAAAUUCAGCCGUUUUGACCCUCAAACGGGCUGCGGAAAGUUAUGGCACGUAAAAAAGAUCGAAAGCGGAUUCUCAAGGUGUUUUUGAUGCUUUCUUAACGCCGUUAACCUCGAUGCACUUUUUCGCUCGAAACAAAACGGCAAGAAAAUCAUGCGCGCCCCACGGCCUUACACUUGGAUUGGCCGCGAAAAGGAUAUAUAGAAACGAGAGUGAUGUACUGUCGGGUGCGAUCAUACCAGCACUAAUGCACCGGAUCCCAUCAGAACUCCGCAGUUAAGCGUGCUUGGGCGAGAGUAGUACUAGGAUGGGUGACCUCCCGGGAAGUCCUCGUGUUGCACCCCUUUUUAUUUUUUAAUUUUUUUUUAGCCUAAAACGAGUCUAAACUUGAAAACCCCAUAACUUUUGAACCGUGAGGAACUACGUCGCCCAUAGCACCAUUUCGGAAAGCCCCAGAAACCAUAAUGGGCGGUGAAUAGGGGGCGCAAUUUUUCGGGCUCAAAUUCAGCCGUUUUGACCCUCAAACGGGCUGCGGAAAGUUAUGGCACGUAAAAAAGAUCGAAAGCGGAUUCUCAAGGUGUUUUUGAUGCUUUCUUAACGCCGUUAACCUCGAUGCACUUUUUCGCUCGAAACAAAACGGCAAGAAAAUCAUGCGCGCCCCACGGCCUUACACUUGGAUUGGCCGCGAAAAGGAUAUAUAGAAACGAGAGUGAUGUACUGUCGGGUGCGAUCAUACCAGCACUAAUGCACCGGAUCCCAUCAGAACUCCGCAGUUAAGCGUGCUUGGGCGAGAGUAGUACUAGGAUGGGUGACCUCCCGGGAAGUCCUCGUGUUGCACCCCUUUUUAUUUUUUAAUUUUUUUUUAGCCUAAAACGAGUCUAAACUUGAAAACCCCAUAACUUUUGAACCGUGAGGAACUACGUCGCCCAUAGCACCAUUUCGGAAAGCCCCAGAAACCAUAAUGGGCGGUGAAUAGGGGGCGCAAUUUUUCGGGCUCAAAUUCAGCCGUUUUGACCCUCAAACGGGCUGCGGAAAGUUAUGGCACGUAAAAAAGAUCGAAAGCGGAUUCUCAAGGUGUUUUUGAUGCUUUCUUAACGCCGUUAACCUCGAUGCACUUUUUCGCUCGAAACAAAACGGCAAGAAAAUCAUGCGCGCCCCACGGCCUUACACUUGGAUUGGCCGCGAAAAGGAUAUAUAGAAACGAGAGUGAUGUACUGUCGGGUGCGAUCAUACCAGCACUAAUGCACCGGAUCCCAUCAGAACUCCGCAGUUAAGCGUGCUUGGGCGAGAGUAGUACUAGGAUGGGUGACCUCCCGGGAAGUCCUCGUGUUGCACCCCUUUUUAUUUUUUAAUUUUUUUUUAGCCUAAAACGAGUCUAAACUUGAAAACCCAUAACUUUUGAACCGUGAGGAACUACGUCGCCCAUAGCACCAUUUCGGAAAGCCCCAGAAACCAUAAUGGGCGGUGAAUAGGGGGCGCAAUUUUUCGGGCUCAAAUUCAGCCGUUUUGACCCUCAAACGGGCUGCGGAAAGUUAUGGCACGUAAAAAAGAUCGAAAGCGGAUUCUCAAGGUGUUUUUGAUGCUUUCUUAACGCCGUUAACCUCGAUGCACUUUUUCGCUCGAAACAAAACGGCAAGAAAAUCAUGCGCGCCCCACGGCCUUACACUUGGAUUGGCCGCGAAAAGGAUAUAUAGAAACGAGAGUGAUGUACUGUCGGGUGCGAUCAUACCAGCACUAAUGCACCGGAUCCCAUCAGAACUCCGCAGUUAAGCGUGCUUGGGCGAGAGUAGUACUAGGAUGGGUGACCUCCCGGGAAGUCCUCGUGUUGCACCCCUUUUUAUUUUUUAAUUUUUUUUAGCCUAAAACGAGUCUAAACUUGAAAACCCCAUAACUUUUGAACCGUGAGGAACUACGUCGCCCAUAGCACCAUUUCGGAAAGCCCCAGAAACCAUAAUGGGCGGUGAAUAGGGGGCGCAAUUUUUCGGGCUCAAAUUCAGCCGUUUUGACCCUCAAACGGGCUGCGGAAAGUUAUGGCACGUAAAAAAGAUCGAAAGCGGAUUCUCAAGGUGUUUUUGAUGCUUUCUUAACGCCGUUAACCUCGAUGCACUUUUUCGCUCGAAACAAAACGGCAAGAAAAUCAUGCGCGCCCCACGGCCUUACACUUGGAUUGGCCGCGAAAAGGAUAUAUAGAAACGAGAGUGAUGUACUGUCGGGUGCGAUCAUACCAGCACUAAUGCACCGGAUCCCAUCAGAACUCCGCAGUUAAGCGUGCUUGGGCGAGAGUAGUACUAGGAUGGGUGACCUCCCGGGAAGUCCUCGUGUUGCACCCCUUUUUAUUUUUUAAUUUUUUUUAGCCUAAAACGAGUCUAAACUUGAAAACCCCAUAACUUUUGAACCGUGAGGAACUACGUCGCCCAUAGCACCAUUUCGGAAAGCCCCAGAAACCAUAAUGGGCGGUGAAUAGGGGGCGCAAUUUUUCGGGCUCAAAUUCAGCCGUUUUGACCCUCAAACGGGCUGCGGAAAGUUAUGGCACGUAAAAAAGAUCGAAAGCGGAUUCUCAAGGUGUUUUUGAUGCUUUCUUAACGCCGUUAACCUCGAUGCACUUUUUCGCUCGAAACAAAACGGCAAGAAAAUCAUGCGCGCCCCACGGCCUUACACUUGGAUUGGCCGCGAAAAGGAUAUAUAGAAACGAGAGUGAUGUACUGUCGGGUGCGAUCAUACCAGCACUAAUGCACCGGAUCCCAUCAGAACUCCGCAGUUAAGCGUGCUUGGGCGAGAGUAGUACUAGGAUGGGUGACCUCCCGGGAAGUCCUCGUGUUGCACCCCUUUUUAUUUUUUAAUUUUUUUUUAGCCUAAAACGAGUCUAAACUUGAAAACCCAUAACUUUUGAACCGUGAGGAACUACGUCGCCCAUAGCACCAUUUCGGAAAGCCCCAGAAACCAUAAUGGGCGGUGAAUAGGGGGCGCAAUUUUUCGGGCUCAAAUUCAGCCGUUUUGACCCUCAAACGGGCUGCGGAAAGUUAUGGCACGUAAAAAAGAUCGAAAGCGGAUUCUCAAGGUGUUUUUGAUGCUUUCUUAACGCCGUUAACCUCGAUGCACUUUUUCGCUCGAAACAAAACGGCAAGAAAAUCAUGCGCGCCCCACGGCCUUACACUUGGAUUGGCCGCGAAAAGGAUAUAUAGAAACGAGAGUGAUGUACUGUCGGGUGCGAUCAUACCAGCACUAAUGCACCGGAUCCCAUCAGAACUCCGCAGUUAAGCGUGCUUGGGCGAGAGUAGUACUAGGAUGGGUGACCUCCCGGGAAGUCCUCGUGUUGCACCCCUUUUUAUUUUUUAAUUUUUUUUAGCCUAAAACGAGUCUAAACUUGAAAACCCCAUAACUUUUGAACCGUGAGGAACUACGUCGCCCAUAGCACCAUUUCGGAAAGCCCCAGAAACCAUAAUGGGCGGUGAAUAGGGGGCGCAAUUUUUCGGGCUCAAAUUCAGCCGUUUUGACCCUCAAACGGGCUGCGGAAAGUUAUGGCACGUAAAAAAGAUCGAAAGCGGAUUCUCAAGGUGUUUUUGAUGCUUUCUUAACGCCGUUAACCUCGAUGCACUUUUUCGCUCGAAACAAAACGGCAAGAAAAUCAUGCGCGCCCCACGGCCUUACACUUGGAUUGGCCGCGAAAAGGAUAUAUAGAAACGAGAGUGAUGUACUGUCGGGUGCGAUCAUACCAGCACUAAUGCACCGGAUCCCAUCAGAACUCCGCAGUUAAGCGUGCUUGGGCGAGAGUAGUACUAGGAUGGGUGACCUCCCGGGAAGUCCUCGUGUUGCACCCCUUUUUAUUUUUUAAUUUUUUUUAGCCUAAAACGAGUCUAAACUUGAAAACCCCAUAACUUUUGAACCGUGAGGAACUACGUCGCCCAUAGCACCAUUUCGGAAAGCCCCAGAAACCAUAAUGGGCGGUGAAUAGGGGCGCAAUUUUUCGGGCUCAAAUUCAGCCGUUUUGACCCUCAAACGGGCUGCGGAAAGUUAUGGCACGUAAAAAAGAUCGAAAGCGGAUUCUCAAGGUGUUUUUGAUGCUUUCUUAACGCCGUUAACCUCGAUGCACUUUUUCGCUCGAAACAAAACGGCAAGAAAAUCAUGCGCGCCCCACGGCCUUACACUUGGAUUGGCCGCGAAAAGGAUAUAUAGAAACGAGAGUGAUGUACUGUCGGGUGCGAUCAUACCAGCACUAAUGCACCGGAUCCCAUCAGAACUCCGCAGUCGUGCUUGGGCGAGAGUAGUACUAGGAUGGGUGACCUCCCGGGAAGUCCUCGUGUUGCACCCCUUUUUAUUUUUUAUUUUUUUUUAGCCUAAAACGAGUCUAAAC